CUGACUGCUAUCGGAUUGGUACUAAGCCAUGCGAGUCGUUGUAGCAAUACAAGGCGGACGGCUCAGUAACACGUAGUCAACCUAACCUAUGGACGUGGAUAACCUCGGGAAACUGAGAAUAACCCGCGAUAGAUCAUAAUGCCUGGAAUGGCUUAUGGUUAAAAUAAUUUAUUGCCGUAGGAUGGGACUGCGGCCUAUCAGCUUGUUGGUGAGGUAAUGGCCCACCAAGGCUAUAACAGGUACGGGCUCUGAGAGGAGAAGCCCGGAGAUGGGUACUGAGACACGGACCCAGGCCCUAUGGGGCGCAGCAGGCGAGAAACCUUAGCAAUGUGCGAAAGCACGACUAGGUUAAUCCGAGUGAUUUCUGUUGAAGAAAUCUUUUGUCAGUCGUAAAACCACAGACGAAUAAGGGGUGGGCAAGUCUGGUGUCAGCCGCCGCGGUAAUACCAGCACCUCGAGUGGUCAGGAGGUUUAUUGGGCCUAAAGCAUCCGUAGCCGGCUAUGCAAGUCUCCGGUUAAAUCCAACUGCUCAACAGAUGGGCUGCCGGAGAUACUACACAGCUAGGGAGCGGGAGAGGUAGACGGUAUUCUGUGGGUAGGGGUAAAAUCCACUGAUCCAUAGAGGACCACCAGUGGCGAAGGCGGUCUACCAGAACGCGUUCGACGGUGAGGGAUGAAAGCUGGGGGAGCAAACCGGAUUAGAUACCCGGGUAGUCCCAGCUGUAAACGAUGCAAACUCGGUGAUGCAUUGACUUAUGGUCAAUGCAGUGCCGCAGGGAAGCCGUUAAGUUUGCCGCCUGGGAAGUACGGACGCAAGUCUGAAACUUAAAGGAAUUGGCGGGGGAGCAC
rnacentral:rRNA from 1 species